CUGACAGGUGGCUAUUGACUAUUGACUGGUGGGGCUCUUUUGGGAGGCUGGUUAGGGCUGCUGCUGGGUCAGAAGCACUUGAACCUUGAAGUGUUGGAGUUUUGCCUCAUCCUGUCUGUGGACUGGUUGGCACCUCUGACUCCUUGUUACAGGUAGAAGACAACAUUGAUUGCAGAAUAUCAAGGGGACAAGAGGAAACCUUUCCAUGCUGAGAUUUCUGGUAUCCAUAGCACUAAGGGGCAGGUUUCCAGCCAACAUGAUGAAGAUUGAAGGUGGAAGAUUGUCUUCACAAUAGCUGGUGGAUAGACACUCUGCUGAGGCCUGCCUGUCACAUUAUUUUUAUAGGUUCUGACAACAGCACAGUUGAGUUUAUGAAACAGAUGAUUCAUCCUAUGUAUAGCUUUUUCUGCGCCUGAGAUAUAUAUGCAUAUGCAUUAAAAACAUGGUGGGAACUGUUGUUGCAGAAUAUGCCUGCCUAAAGAGACACAGUAAUUCUUCUUGAAGGGGAGAACCCACAGAACAGAAGCAACACGCUGGCACUCUGAAAUGCUGAAAUGCCAUUCGAAUGAGAUAAGCAGCAUUUAGAAUUUGUUCUCCACUGUAUUUUCAACUGCAUUAUUUUCUGUUCAUCUAAAACUUUAUUAACGGUGUAAGGGUUUGUCUGGGAGUAACGUGUGUUUAUUUGUACACUUUUUACAGAAAGAAACAUGUUCAAAAGCCCCGACAGUCUGUUCUUUGCUUGAAUGAUAGUCAUGUGGGAUUUACAAUUGAAUUGUAAGGACAGGAGGACAGGAAGAAUACAAGUGACAAAUACAAGAGUCUCUCUGCCAGCAGGGAAGAAGAGCUGUAAUGAGCAAAACUCCCAACUAGAUCUAAUUUAGAGCCAAGCAGAGCUCCAAGAAUGUGUGGGAAUUAAUCUUUUUAUUUAUCCAGAAUGAAGGAGGAGAAUUAAGGGUAAGCGGAAUAGCACUGAAAUGGACAGAUUUGUAUUCCCUCCUGAAAAACAUUGCAUCUAAGUGCCUGACAGCUAAAGUUCAUAAGUGCAAGAGCAGAUUUUUAAGAAACUGUAAGAAACUGUUUGUUCUUUCCAGAUGGGGGAUGGGAAAGAGGGUCUGGAUUUGACCAAUAAUGUGAUCAUUGUUGAAAAUCUACAGCAGUACAAGAAAUGAAUGGAGAAUUUAGUCUUAAGAAAAAGGAAAAUAGAAAAGUAAAAAAAGAAGAAAAGAGUAAUGAGUUUUCCUGACUUCGGCCCCAGCUAAGCAAAAUGUCUAAUCAGAGAGCUAAGGAUUUGCAGUGUUUGGCCUCUCAGCUUGAAAAGAUGUGAUCAGCAUGCUAGCAUGGUUGUGGUUUCUGCUCAUCUGGGUUCCUACAGCUUCCAAACAGCCAUAUCAAAACUCCACUUGUCUGCUCAAGCAAUUCAGUUUCAGCCUAAAUAAAAUUAAAUAUAUGAAUGACUCACAGAAAUAAUUCCAUGUUGGGAAUCUCAUAAUGUCACUACUGUUUUUUGAUACAAGCCAGGUCACAUAGUUGGACUUAGCUUGCACAUAAACUUAUUCCUAUAGUUGCCGGCUUUUUGCAAUCACAUGCAUUUUUGUGCCCCCUUCUCCACAAGUUUCUUUCAUCUAUCCUUUUGGCAUCUUGCCAGUAUAGUAGCCAGAUCCCCUAUUAUAUGCCAAUUAAUCCCCUCUUGAUGAAUUUGAGUCAUUUGUAUUUUAUUGUACACAGUACGGAAAUUCAUCACGGCAAAAUGUAGUAUAAAUAGGGCAUGGGUUAGUCAAGUAUAAAGGCUUUUUUGUCCUCUACUAGAUGUGUAUUUAUAAUUUCAAAUUAAAAUAACCAACAUCUUGCUACAGUAACCUUUUCCAUUGUGUUUGAAAAUAUUUUCCCCAUCAAAAUGCUAACAGUGUGAUCAAUUUGCCAUGUUUUAGUUUAAAAACAUGGAGAUGAGAUGUAGAGUUAAUACAGUGUGCAGUUCUUACAACUAGAAGUAAUUGUUUAGUAGUAGUAUAAUAGUCUGCAAUCAAUUUCAAAAGGCAAUUGUCUCCAAGGAGGUUUCUGCAUACCUGUGGCCUCUGCCCAGAGAAAAGCAGGUUUGCUCCUAUUAGUGACGCACCAGGAGAGUUGUGUGCUCACACCAAGGCAGGGGCACAUAUGUGAACCAUAGCCAGAAAAACAUUUUAAUUAAAUGCUCACAAUGGAUUGUCAAAUCUAUCUCUGCUUUAAGCACAUACUUAAAUCCAGCUGAAUUUACUGACACUGCUCCUGUGAGGUAACCAGGGUGCUAAAGCACAGCUGAUCUGAAGACUUUGGCCUCAGAGCACAGGCCCACACUGGGAGUGAAGUGACAAAUGGUCCACAAUGCCUGAGAGAUUUUGCCCUAUCUUUUCUGUUCCUUCCUUCCUUCUAUUCCCCUUCAUGCUGCUUCACUAGAGAUUUACCCUCUCCCCUCCAUCUCAUCAGAUUCAGUGAUUGGCUGACCCCUAGGAAAAUUCCUUCCAUUUGCUUUACAAACAGAAAAAUUCCAUAUACACUUUUUUUCCAGGUAAUGUUCUGCCAUUUUAUUUCAUUGAGAUGCUUUGCUGAGCUCCAUCACCAAAGCCAGUACAAAAUAAGUGGGUAACCAGGAGCAAGAGCACAAGAGAGCUUGGAGGAAAGGUAGGGGCUUCAUCAUCAUAGAAGCUGCUCUUAGUUCAUAUCAGGUUGCAAUAGGUACCUCUAAAAAAGUAAUGUGACUUCUGAAAUUGCAACAUAAUCCCACCUCUUUAAAUGCAUUUGUGUUCGUAAGGG